GACGAACGCUGGCGGCGUGCUUAACACAUGCAAGUCGAACGGAAAGGCCCUGCUUUUGUGGGGUGCUCGAGUGGCGAACGGGUGAGUAACACGUGAGUAACCUGCCCUUGACUUUGGGAUAACUUCAGGAAACUGGGGCUAAUACCGGAUAGGAGCUCCUGCUGCAUGGUGGGGGUUGGAAAGUUUCGGCGGUUGGGGAUGGACUCGCGGCUUAUCAGCUUGUUGGUGGGGUAGUGGCUUACCAAGGCUUUGACGGGUAGCCGGCCUGAGAGGGUGACCGGCCACAUGGGGCUUGAGAUACGGCCCAGCCCCCUCGGGGAGGCAGAGGUGGGGAAUAUUGCACAGGGGGCGGAAGCCUGAUGCAGCACCGCCGCGGGGGGAAUGACGGCCUUGGGUUUUAACACCGUUUCCCCUUGGGACAAAGGGUGGGGGAGGUUAAUGGGUAAAGAAGCCCCGGCAAACUCCGUG
rnacentral:rRNA from 1 species